rnacentral:rRNA from 1 species
CAGCAGCCACGGUAAUACGUAGGUGGCAAGCGUUAAUCGGAAUUACUGGGCGUAAAGCGUGCGCAGGCGGUUCUAUAAGACAGAUGUGAAAUCCCCGGGCUCAACCUGGGAACUGCAUUUGUGACUGUAGAGCUGGAGUGCGGCAGAGGGGGAUGGAAUUCCGCGUGUAGCAGUGAAAUGCGUAGAUAUGCGGAGGAACACCGAUGGCGAAGGCAAUCCCCUGGGCCUGCACUGACGCUCAUGCACGAAAGCGUGGGGAGCAAACAGGAUUAGAUACCCGUGUAGUCCCUGUCUCUUAUAC